rnacentral:rRNA from 1 species
UACGGGAUAUUGCGCAAUGGGCGAAAGCCUGACGCAGCAACGCCGCGUGAAGGAUGAAGGCCUUCGGGUCGUAAACUUCUGUCAGGCGGGACGAACGAGCGGCGGUGAAUACCCGCCGUUUCUUGACGGUACCGCCGGAGGAAGCCCCGGCUAACUCCGUGCCAGCAGCCGCGGUAAUACGGAGGGGGCAAGCGUUAUUCGGAAUUAUUGGGCGUAAAGGGCGUGUAGGCGGCUUGAUAAGCCAAAGGUGAAAUCCCUCAGCUCAACUGAGGAACUGCCUUUGGAACUGUCUCGCUAGAGGCCAGGAGAGGGUAGCGGAAUUCCCAGUGUAGCGGUGAAAUGCGUAGAUAUUGGGAGGAACACCAGUGGCGAAGGCGGCUACCUGGACUGGUACUGACGCUGAGGCGCGAAAGCGUGGGGAGCAAACAGGAUUAGAUACCCCCGUAGUCC